CAGUCGCCGCGGGAAUACGAAGGGUGCAAGCGUUAAUCGGAAUUACUGGGCGUAAAGCGUGCGCAGGCGGUUUGUUAAGACAGAUGUGAAAUCCCCGGGCUCAACCUGGGAACUGCAUUUGUGACUGGCAAGCUAGAGUGUGGCAGAGGGGGGUGGAAUUCCGCGUGUAGCAGUGAAAUGCGUAGAUAUGCGGAGGAACACCGAUGGCGAAGGCAGCCCCCUGGGCCAACACUGACGCUCAUGCACGAAAGCGUGGGGAGCAAACAGGAUUAGAUACCCGUGUAGUCCCUGUCUCUUAUAC
rnacentral:rRNA from 1 species